GUGAAUCAUCGAAUCUUUGAACGCAAAUUGCGCCUUUUUCGGAAGGCAUGUCUGUUUGAGGGCACCAUUUAACAAAUAAUGUCCAUUUCGUGUGCACACGUUGGUGAGCUUUCCAAAUUUAUGUAUUAUUUUUGGUGGCGCAUAAUGAACAGCGGGAAAGUUUUUUUCAGUUCGAGUGUAUUAAAAUCUUUGCUUGGUUUGUGAAAAAACAUAAUCACGCACUGGGUGUGGCCCUUUCUUUUUAUCCCUGCCACACUGCCACUCUUUCUCACGGAAGAAUGUCUAAUCUUCA
rnacentral:misc_RNA from 1 species